ACGGGUGAGUAAUGCCUAGGAAUCUGCCUGAUAGUGGGGGAUAACGUCCGGAAACGGACGCUAAUACCGCAUACGUCCUACGGGAGAAAGCAGGGGACCUUCGGGCCUUGCGCUAUCAGAUGAGCCUAGGUCGGAUUAGCUAGUUGGUGAGGUAAAGGCUCACCAAGGCGACGAUCCGUAACUGGUCUGAGAGGAUGAUCAGUCACACUGGAACUGAGACACGGUCCAGACUCCUACGGGAGGCAGCAGUGGGGAAUAUUGGACAAUGGGCGAAAGCCUGAUCCAGCCAUGCCGCGUGUGUGAAGAAGGUCUUCGGAUUGUAAAGCACUUUAAGUUGGGAGGAAGGGUCGUUACCUAAUACGUGACGAUUUUGACGUUACCGACAGAAUAAGCACCGGCUAACUCUGUGCCAGCAGCCGCGGUAAUACAGAGGGUGCAAGCGUUAAUCGGAAUUACUGGGCGUAAAGCGCGCGUAGGUGGUUUGUUAAGUUGAAUGUGAAAUCCCCGGGCUCAACCUGGGAACUGCAUCCAAAACUGGCAAGCUAGAGUAGGGCAGAGGGUGGUGGAAUUUCCUGUGUAGCGGUG
rnacentral:rRNA from 6 species